rfam:Phytophthora infestans T30-4 supercont1.37 genomic scaffold, whole genome shotgun sequence.
GUCAGUGUCGUCUAGUGGUUAGGACGCGAGCUUCACACGCUCGAGAUCGAGGGUUCGAUCCCCUCCUUUGAUA